AAUAAAAUGCCUGAAAAAGGGUUACUUUGAUAGAGUAAAUCAUGUAAUUUAUAGAUUACUUUUAUUA
rnacentral:tRNA from 1 species